GCCCGCGGCCUGGCGUCACGCCGCCCCGGCUCGUCCCCGGACCAGCGCCCAGCUGAGCUGUCCCUCAGGGCCUUAGCGCUUUCCUCUCAGGGAGGUUCUCCGUCACUCCGGAGAGAAAUGUAGAGGAGGAGGAGGGGACGACCGGCGUGUUCACAGGAAGAGUGUGAGGAAGGCACAGCCCGGCUAGAGAGAGUUUAGCAGCUCUAACAGAAUGGCUUUGGCCAAGAGAAUGUCAGCCCACAUCAUGACUACAGAAGGUGGAAUGUCAGCCCACAUCAUGACUACAGAAGGUGGAAUAUGCCAUGUGGUUUGGCUCGACCUUUAUCUUCCUGCCAUUCAGUGUGAGAAGAACAUGUUCCAUAUGGCAGCUACUCAUGGAAAUAAUGCCAGACCUCAACUAAAACCAGAAACUAAAGCCCAACCCAGUCAGCCUCUGCUGAGUCAUCCCAGCCACCAUGGACACGAGCAAGAGAAAGGUGACAGCAAGUAACUGCCACACCUGCCUGUGACCUGCCCCUGGGACGUGGCCGAGAGGAGACCCCAUAAGACCCGAGAUGCAUACAUGCUUGCUCUCUUGGCUCCUCAUGAUCCUGGAUACUGGAUUGCAGACCAAGUCAGAGAUCUCCAGAGAACCACGCUGGACUACACCUCAUCUCUCCCAGAUCCUGUAACGACCCUUUAUUGGUUGUAAGUUACCCCUGAAAUAAAUGUCUUUUAAUUACCAGAUAAAAUGCGUGGAAUUGCCUUGU